rnacentral:rRNA from 1 species
GACGAACGCUGGCGGCGUGCUUAACACAUGCAAGUCGAACGGAAAGACCCUGCUUUUGUGGGGUGCUCGAGUGGCGAACGGGUGAGUAACACGUGAGUAACCUGCCCUUGACUUUGGGAUAACUUCAGGAAACUGGGGCUAAUACCGGAUAGGAGCUCCUGCUGCAUGGUGGGGGUUGGAAAGUUUCGGCGGUUGGGGAUGGACUCGCGGCUUAUCAGCUUGUUGGUGGGGUAGUGGCUUACCAAGGCUUUGACGGGUAGCCGGCCUGAGAGGGUGACCGGCCACAUUGGGACUGAGAUACGGCCCAGACUCCUACGGGAGGCAGCAGUGGGGAAUAUUGCACAAUGGGCGGAAGCCUGAUGCAGCAACGCCGCGUGCGGGAUGUCGGCCUUCGGGUUGUAAACCGCUUUCGCCUGUGACGAAGCGUGAGUGACGGUAAUGGGUAAAGAAGCACCGGCUAACUACGUG